AUAUGGCCAUACCAUGCUGAUAUGCCGGGUUCUCGUUAGAUCACCGAAGUCAAGCAUCAUUGGGGCGCGGUCAGUACUUGGGUGGGUGACCACCUGGGAACACCGCGUGCCGUU
rnacentral:rRNA from 1 species